rnacentral:rRNA from 1 species
CCUACGGGUGGCAGCAGUGAGGAAUAUUGGUCAAUGGGCGCGAGCCUGAACCAGCCAAGUAGCGUGAAGGAUGACUGCCCUACGGGUUGUAAACUUCUGUUAUGAGGGAGUAAAGUGAGGCGCGUGUGCCUUUUUGUAUGUACUCUAUUAAUAAUGAUCGGCUAACUCCGUUCCAGCAGCCGCGGUAAGACGGAGGAUGCGUGCGUUGUCCGGAUUUAUUGGGUUUAAAGGGAGUGUAGAGUGGUUGUUAAGCCAGGUGGGAAAGUGUGCGGCUCAACCGUCAAAUUGCAAUUGAAACUGGGAGCCUUGAGUACAGUUGAGGGAGGCGGAAUUCGCGGUGUAGCGGUGAAAUGCUUAGAUAUCACGAAGAACUCCGAUUGCGAAGGCAGCUUACUAGACUGCAACUGACAUUGAUGCUCGAAAGUGUGGGUAUCAAACAGGAUUAGAUACCCCUGUAGUC